AAAAUAUAUACCAAAAUGCCAAUAAAAUUUCAGUUGCCUUUUCAGAACUCGCAAAGAGUGUCAUGAGCCUAGGGUUUUAGCACUCUUCAACGCAGGAGUAACACGAUUGAAAAACCCUAACAGUGGGAGCACACGCAUAAAACCUUUUUUGCCAAAUUAGCAUUUUCACGGUCAUCAACAUGUCCGUCGCCGCCGCUAGAUCCGUCUUCCGAUCAGCCUCAGUCCGUAAUGGUGCGGCAAGAUUAGCUUCUGGAGUGAAAGCCGCUCGAUCUCCCUUUCGUAUGUCCACCAGAAGACCACUUUCACAUCGCAUCUUCAGGUAACUAAAUAAACAUUAACACAUAUACAUACACACAAGCCCAAUUAUACAUGUAAACUGACAUUUAUCUUCAUUUUCUUUUGAAGUUGUCCUGCUGAAAUGAGUUCGAUGCAACCCUUCCAUACUGCGACUGCUUCGGCAUUGAUGACUUCGAUGCUCUCUCUCUCUCGCCGUGGUUACGGUUGGCUUCCUGAAGGUAGUAAACUUUCUAAAUUUUGGCUUAAUUUCGAUUUUUAAGUCCUUGAAAUUUUUGAUGAUUUUUCUAUGGUUCAAUUGAUGUUAUUUGGGAUUGCGAAUCUAUUUGUGUUCCUAAGCUGAAAUUUUUUAGCACUUAGUUUUGUGCUUGAAUGCUGGUAUUCUAUAAGAGUAGAAAUUUUUUAAUGUACAAGUGAUUGAUAAUGUGGGGAGGACAUGGUCAACUUUCAAUCCAAUUUUGAGUUCUUUUAGUUAUUAGCUUCUUGUUUUCUAGUACUCUGAAGUGGUUAGUAUAAAUAAUUCUCCUGAACUAUUAAAAUUGGUGAAGAGACUGUGUUCAUCCAUCUAGCAUAAUUAAAACUCACUCUUACAGGAAAUCUAAAUAAUGUUUUGAAUUCUUCUUUAUUAUGUUGUUUUUUCAAGUUAUGUUUUUAGUCAAAAUACUUCUUCCUAGUCUUUGUUUCAAGUUAUUUUCAUUUCAUGGCAGCCUGAGUCCAAUAAUCAGUACCUGACUGGGAAGAAUUGUGCCUGUUCAAGAAUAUUUUAUAGAUGUAUCAAUAAAAUUGACCAUAUAAAGAGUUUUCAAAGUUACAUUAAGAAAAAUUUGGUACCCAUGAAUGUUACAUCUAAUCUUGCUAUAUAGAAAGUUUUUCAGGUUACCCCAAGAAAUCUGGUAUUAGGAUUAGUACAUCUUGUUUUGGGUAAUCACAACCAGGAGUUACUGGGUUUUUUUUUUUAAUCGCCUUCAUACUAAACUCCCAUCCUGACAACUGUUACUGUUUAUUCUUGCAAAGUUAAUAUAUACUACUAGCUGGAAGGGGCCGUACUAGAUAGUUUUCACGUCAGAGAGUACUUUAAUCAUUUCAUCUCAUGAAAUUCUUAUUCCGAUGAAUUACAGAGGAAUUAGGGAUUUCCUUUUAUGUCCUGUUUACUUCAACACUUUCCUGUACUUCAAAGUUGUAGUUUUUGCUGAAUAGGUCGCCUAACCAUUGGGUUUUGUCUUGAUUUAGGUAUCUAGCAAAAUUUUGUAGACCUUCCUUGAUGUCCUGUUUCUCCUUUCAAGUAUUUGGUAAGUUAAAAUUGCUGGAUAUUAUCUAAAACACCCUUAGAUAUUUAAGGAAUUUAAAACCUCCCCUUCAGUAACUUUUUAAUUUCUGAAACAGAGAUAUCAGGCUCAACGAAAUAACACUAUUGUAUUAUUUAUAUGUUAAUUCCUAUUCCCCCUCCCCUUUAUCCUGGAUGGACACUUUCUGUCCCUAAACCUGGUUGAGUGUCAUAUGAUGAUACCCUAUUGUUUGCUUUUGUUCUUCUGUUUCCAGCUGAAGAGUCAGUUUCCAUCCCCAUUUCCUAUUUUUCUUGUUUUAAUAAAAUAGCACAUGCUUCAUUGUUUCCUGUUGUAGGCGUUGACAAGACUAGAUGAAGAUGGAGAUUCAACUAUGGAAUGAUUUGGAUUUGUUAUGUCUUGAAGCUUUUAAAUUCUUAGGUCGCUUCUUCAAUAGUAUAGGCUCGCUGGCUAUAUUUAAAGAUUAAUAAUGAAACAUGAAUUAAUGAUGUGUAGAUUGAAAGCUUUAAUAUACAAUUGCUCUUUCGUAGAUCUUGUUAAAGGAUACAUUGGUUUAUAUGAUUCUGUUUUCACCUUUGUUUGAAUUUGUUUUGUGUCCUUUGUAUAAUUUGAUUGAUUUUUCCUAUUUUCUUCGUAUUCUGGAAUCAUCUUUGGUAGCUUUUGUAAUUGAUGGACAGACUGGCACCAUGUGCUCUGUUUUCUUUGUGUGCUUUUUCUGG
rnacentral:lncRNA from 1 species